rnacentral:lncRNA from 1 species
CCCCGGCCGGAGGCCCACCCUCCCCCGCGUGCUCGCCCGGCGGCUCGGCGGCGGCUCGGCGGCGGCUCGGCCGGGUUCCAGACCCCGGAGGGCUCGGCGGCGUCCUCCCGGGCUCGACAUUGAGCUGCUGGCGAGCGAAGCGGGCGUGGGGCAGCUGCACGCCCGAGCCUCACGGGCGAAGAGGACGAACGCCAGCCGUCGGGAGGCUCUAGUGCGAGCGGGAGGGUGAUCCGGUGCGAGCGGGAGGGUGAUCCGGUGCGAGCGGGAGGGUGAUCCGGUGCGAGCGGGAGGGUGAUCCGGUGUGAGGGUGAUCCGGUGCGAGCGGGAGGGUGAUCCAGUGUGAGCGUGAGGGUGAUCCAGUGCGAGCGGGAGGGUGACCUAGUGCGAGCGGCAUGAGGGUGAUCCGGUGCUAGGAGCGUGAGGGUGACCUAGUGCGAGCGGGAGGGUGAUCUAGUGCGAGCGUGAGGGUGAUCCAGUGUGAGGAGCGUGAGGGUGAUCCAGUGCGAGCGGGAGGGUGACCUGGUGCAAGCGGGAGGGUGACCUAGUGCGAGCGGGAGGCGUGAGGGUGACCUAGUGCGAGCGGCAUGAGGGUGAUCCGGUGCGAGUGUGAGGGUGAUCCGGUGCUAGGAGCGUGAGGGUGACCUAGUGCGAGCGGGAGGGUGAUCUAGUGCGAGCGUGAGGGUGAUCCAGUGUGAGGAGCGUGAGGGUGAUCCAGUGCGAGCGGGAGGGUGAUCCAGUGCGAGCGGGAGGGUGAUCCAGUGCGAGCUGGAGGGUGAUCCGGUGCGAGGAGCGGGAGGGUGAUCCAGUGUGAGGAGCGUGAGGGAGAUCUAGUGCGAGCGGGAGGGAGAUCUAGUGUGAGGAGCGUGAGGGAGAUCUAGUGCGAGGAGCGUGAGGGAGAUCCGGUGCGAGGAGCGUGAGGGAGAUCCGGUGCGAGGAGCGGGAGGGUGAUCCAGUGUGAGGAGCGUGAGGGAGAUCUAGUGCGAGCGUGAGGGAGAUCCAGUGUGAGGAGCGUGAGGGAGAUCUAGUGCGAGGAGCGUGAGGGAGAUCCGGUGCGAGGAGCGGGAGGGUGAUCCAGUGUGAGGAGCGUGAGGGAGAUCUAGUGUGAGGAGCGUGAGGGUGAUCCAGUGUGAGGAGCGUGAGGGAGAUCCGGUGCGAGGAGCGGGAGGGUGAUCCAGUGUGAGGAGCGUGAGGGAGAUCUAGUGCGAGCGUGAGGGAGAUCCAGUGUGAGGAGCGUGAGGGAGAUCCAGUGUGAGGAGCGUGAGGGAGAUCCGGUGCGAGGAGCGGGAGGGUGAUCCAGUGUGAGGAGCGUGAGGGAGAUCUAGUGCGAGCGUGAGGGAGAUCCAGUGUGAGGAGCGUGAGGGAGAUCUAGUGCGAGGAGCGUGAGGGAGAUCCGGUGCGAGGAGCGGGAGGGUGAUCCAGUGUGAGGAGCGUGAGGGAGAUCCGGUGCGAGGAGCGUGAGGGUGAUCCGGUGUGAGGAGCGUGAGGGAGAUCCGGUGCGAGGAGCGUGAGGGAGAUCCAGUGCGAGCGGGAGGGAGAUCCAGUGCGAGCGGGAGGGUGAUCUAGUGCAAGCGUGAGGGUGAUCUAGUGCCGUGUGCGGUCCAGGGUGGCAGGGGAAAGGGGAUGAGGGUGAGACAAAGACAGAGACAGACAGACAGAGAGAGACAGAGAGGAGAGAUAGUGGAGAAAGACACAGAGAGGGAGGGAGGGAGAGAGAGAGAGACAGAGACAGAGAGAGAGAGAGACAGAGAGAGAGUAAGAGUAGGAAUUUUUAAGACAACCCCUGGAGGAGGAGCACGACGUGACAGCACACAGCGAAAAGAACAGGCGAAAGGGCCUGAGGUGUCUGUAGCUCGGGUCCUCCACUGCUCUCCUUGUGCGAGCACAAUUCAAAGCCCCAGGCUUUGCCGAGAAGGGUUGAGACAUAAGGAACUAAUGCUCUACGCUGCUAGUGAGUGGCCGUCAGCGUCGCCUUCAAUCCCAGCGCUCGGAAGACAAGAGCAGUCCAUCUCUAGGAAGACAAGAGCAGUCCAUCUCUAGGAAGACAGACAAGAGCAGUCCAUCUCUAGGAAGACAAGAGCAGUCCAUCUCUAGGAAGACAAGAGCAGUCCAUCUCUAGGAAGACAAGAAGUCCAUCUCUAGGAAGACAGACAAGAGCAGUCCAUCUCUAGGAAUUUGAGCCCCGCCAGGGCUACGAAGUCAGACACUGUCUCAAAAAAGAAAGAGGCGUUUUACAAAUGUUUCAUCCUCAACAAGCCAGAGGAGAGGGGCUUUAUCUGAGGACGUUGCAGAACCCCAGUUUUAAGCAGGGGGCAUUUUGGCCACACUUGGGGAGCUCUCGGGAUUGCCCUAGCUGCAGUCUGGAGGUCUGGAGAGGGGAGGCAAGAGUGGGUGAGUGGGACUAAGGGUCACUUCAGCAAAAGAGAGAGAGGCCUUGGGUUCGUCCUCAGCAUUUGGGAAGAACGGGUGGAGAUCUUGGGUGUGGUCUUUGAAAGCAGCCAGACCUUUCAGGACUGCGGUGUGUUUGGCCCAAAGACCUCGGAUGCUGGACACCCAGCGAUCACCAAAGAUCCACGUGGGAUAGUGGCUAUCAAUUUGGCUCUCUCGCACUAAUAAAGAUUAAAGACACUUGUGGGAG